rnacentral:rRNA from 1 species
AUGCAGUCGGACGGCAGCACAGAGAAGCUUGCUUCUCGGGUGGCGAGUGGCGAACGGGUGAGUAACAUAUCGGAACGUACCGAGUAGUGGGGGAUAACUGAUCGAAAGAUCAGCUAAUACCGCAUACGUCUUGAGAGAGAAAGCAGGGGACCUUUGGGCCUUGCGCUAUUCGAGCGGCCGAUAUCUGAUUAGCUGGUUGGUGGGGUAAAGGCCUACCAAGGCGACGAUCAGUAGCGGGUCUGAGAGGAUGAUCCGCCACACUGGGACUGAGACACGGCCCAGACUCCUACGGGAGGCAGCAGUGGGGAAUUUUGGACAAUGGGCGCAAGCCUGAUCCAGCCAUGCCGCGUGUCUGAAGAAGGCCUUCGGGUUGUAAAGGACUUUUGUCAGGGAAGAAAAGGCUGUUGCUAAUACCAGCGGCUGAUGACGGUACCUGAAGAAUAAGCACCGGCUAACUACGUGCCAGCAGCCGCGGUAAUACGUAGGGUGCGAGCGUUAAUCGGAAUUACUGGGCGUAAAGCGGGCGCAGACGGUUACUUAAGCAGGAUGUGAAAUCCCCGGGCUCAACCCGGGAACUGCGUUCUGAACUGGGUGACUCGAGUGUGUCAGAGGGAGGUAGAAUUCCACGUGUAGCAGUGAAAUGCGUAGAGAUGUGGAGGAAUACCGAUGGCGAAGGCAGCCUCCUGGGACAACACUGACGUUCAUGCCCGAAAGCGUGGGUAGCAAACAGGAUUAGAUACCCUGGUAGUCCACGCCCUAAACGAUGUCAAUUAGCUGUUGGGCAACCUGAUUGCUUGGUAGCGUAGCUAACGCGUGAAAUUGACCGCCUGGGGA